rnacentral:rRNA from 1 species
UACGGGGGGAGCAAGCGUUGUUCGGAUUUACUGGGCGUAAAGGGCGCGUAGGCGGCGCAACAAGUCACUUGUGAAAUCUCCGGGCUUAACCCGGAGCGGCCAAGUGAUACUGUCGUGCUAGAGUGCGGAAGGGGCUACUGGAAUUCUCGGUGUAGCGGUGAAAUGCGUAGAUAUCAGGAGGAACACCGGUGGCGAAGGCGGGUCUCUGGGCCGAAACUGACGCUGAGGAGCGAAAGCGUGGGGAGCAAACAGG